GGGUUGUGAGGUUAAGCGACUAAGCGUACACGGUGGAUGCCCUGGCAGUCAGAGGCGAUGAAGGACGUGCUAAUCUGCGAAAAGCGCCGGCGAGGUGAUAUGAACCCUUGACCCGGCGAUGUCCGAAUGGGGAAACCCAGUGCAAUCCGUUGCACUAUCGUUAACUGAAUACAUAGGUUAACGAGGCGAACCGGGGGAACUGAAACAUCUAAGUACCCCGAGGAAAAGAAAUCAACCGAGAUUCCCCCAGUAGCGGCGAGCGAACGGGGAGCAGCCCGGAGUCUGAAUCAGCUUGUGUGUUAGUGGAACGGUCUGGAAAGUCCGACGGUACAGGGUGAUAGUCCCGUACACGAAAGCACACAUGCUGUGAACUCGAAGAGUAGGGCGGGACACGUGGUAUCCUGUCUGAAUAUGGGGGGACCAUCCUCCAAGGCUAAAUACUCCUGACUGACCGAUAGUGAACCAGUACCGUGAGGGAAAGGCGAAAAGAACCCCGGCGAGGGGAGUGAAAAAGAACCUGAAACCGUGUACGUACAAGCAGUGGGAGCCUCUUUAUGGGGUGACUGCGUACCUUUUGUAUAAUGGGUCAGCGACUUAUAUUCUGUAGCAAGGUUAACCGUAUAGGGGAGCCGAAGGGAAACCGAGUCUUAACUGGGCGUUAAGUUGCAGGGUAUAGACCCGAAACCCGGUGAUCUAGCCAUGGGCAGGUUGAAGGUUGGGUAACACUAACUGGAGGACCGAACCGACUAAUGUUGAAAAAUUAGCGGAUGACCUGUGGCUGGGGGUGAAAGGCCAAUCAAACCGGGAGAUAGCUGGUUCUCCCCGAAAGCUAUUUAGGUAGCGCCUCGUGAACUCAUCUUCGGGGGUAGAGCACUGUUUCGGCUAGGGGGCCAUCCCGGCUUACCAACCCGAUGCAAACUACGAAUACCGAAGAAUGUUAUCACGGGAGACACACGGCGGGUGCUAACGUCCGUCGUGAAGAGGGAAACAACCCAGACCGCCAGCUAAGGUCCCAAAGUCAUGGUUAAGUGGGAAACGAUGUGGGAAGGCACAGACAGCCAGGAUGUUGGCUUAGAAGCAGCCAUCAUUUAAAGAAAGCGUAAUAGCUCACUGGUCGAGUCGGCCUGCGCGGAAGAUGUAACGGGGCUAAACCAUGCACCGAAGCUGCGGCAGCGACGCUUAUGCGUUGUUGGGUAGGGGAGCGUUCUGUAAGCCGUUGAAGGUGUGCUGUGAGGCAUGCUGGAGGUAUCAGAAGUGCGAAUGCUGACAUAAGUAACGAUAAAGCGGGUGAAAAGCCCGCUCGCCGGAAGACCAAGGGUUCCUGUCCAACGUUAAUCGGGGCAGGGUGAGUCGACCCCUAAGGCGAGGCCGAAAGGCGUAGUCGAUGGGAAACAGGUUAAUAUUCCUGUACUUGGUGUUACUGCGAAGGGGGGACGGAGAAGGCUAUGUCAGCCGGGCGACGGUUGUCCCGGUUUAAGCAUGUAGGCGGAGGUUCCAGGUAAAUCCGGUACCUUAUUAACGCUGAGGUGUGAUGACGAGGCACUACGGUGCUGAAGUGAUAAAUGCCCUGCUUCCAGGAAAAGCCUCUAAGCAUCAGGUAACACGAAAUCGUACCCCAAACCGACACAGGUGGUCAGGUAGAGAAUACCAAGGCGCUUGAGAGAACUCGGGUGAAGGAACUAGGCAAAAUGGUGCCGUAACUUCGGGAGAAGGCACGCUGAUGUGUAGGUGAAGCCCCUGCGGGCGGAGCUGAAAUCAGUCGAAGAUACCAGCUGGCUGCAACUGUUUAUUAAAAACACAGCACUGUGCAAACACGAAAGUGGACGUAUACGGUGUGACGCCUGCCCGGUGCCGGAAGGUUAAUUGAUGGGGUUAGCGGCAACGCGAAGCUCUUGAUCGAAGCCCCGGUAAACGGCGGCCGUAACUAUAACGGUCCUAAGGUAGCGAAAUUCCUUGUCGGGUAAGUUCCGACCUGCACGAAUGGCGUAAUGAUGGCCAGGCUGUCUCCACCCGAGACUCAGUGAAAUUGAACUCGCUGUGAAGAUGCAGUGUACCCGCGGCAAGACGGAAAGACCCCGUGAACCUUUACUAUAGCUUGACACUGAACACUGGUCCUUGAUGUGUAGGAUAGGUGGGAGGCUUUGAAGCGUGGACGCCAGUCUGCGUGGAGCCAACCUUGAAAUACCACCCUUUAAUGGCUGGUGUUCUAACGUGGACCCGUAAUCCGGGUUGCGGACAGUGUCUGGUGGGUAGUUUGACUGGGGCGGUCUCCUCCCAAAGAGUAACGGAGGAGCACGAAGGUUGGCUAAUCCUGGUCGGACAUCAGGAGGUUAGUGCAAUGGCAUAAGCCAGCUUGACUGCGAGCGUGACGGCGCGAGCAGGUGCGAAAGCAGGUCAUAGUGAUCCGGUGGUUCUGAAUGGAAGGGCCAUCGCUCAACGGAUAAAAGGUACUCCGGGGAUAACAGGCUGAUACCGCCCAAGAGUUCAUAUCGACGGCGGUGUUUGGCACCUCGAUGUCGGCUCAUCACAUCCUGGGGCUGAAGUAGGUCCCAAGGGUAUGGCUGUUCGCCAUUUAAAGUGGUACGCGAGCUGGGUUUAGAACGUCGUGAGACAGUUCGGUCCCUAUCUGCCGUGGGCGCUGGAGAAUUGAGGGGGGCUGCUCCUAGUACGAGAGGACCGGAGUGGACGCAUCACUGGUGUUCGGGUUGUCAUGCCAAUGGCACUGCCCGGUAGCUAAAUGCGGAAGAGAUAAGUGCUGAAAGCAUCUAAGCACGAAACUUGCCCCGAGAUGAGUUCUCCCUGAGACUUUAAGUCUCCUGAAGGAACGUUGAAGACGACGACGUUGAUAGGUCGGGUGUGUAAGCGCAGCGAUGCGUUGAGCUAACCGAUACUAAUGAACCGUGAGGCUUAACCUUACAACGCCGAAGGUGUUU
rnacentral:rRNA from 1 species